rnacentral:rRNA from 1 species
UACAGAGGUCUCGAGCGUUAGGCGGAAUCACUGGGCUUAAAGCGUGUGUAGGCGGACUUCUAAGUACCUUGUGAAAUCCCACGGCUUACCCGUGGAACGGCUGGGUAUACUGGUUGUCUUGAGCCACUUAGGGGCUACCGGAACAAAUGGUGGAGCGGUGAAAUGCGUAGAUAUCAUUUGGAACGCCAAUGGUGAAAACAGGUAGCUGGGAGUGUGCUGACGCUGAGACACGAAAGCCAGGGGAGCGAACGGG